rnacentral:lncRNA from 1 species
GGGGAAGGGCAGACAGUAAGUAGAGAGUAAACGGUGGUGGGGGUGGAGUGAAGAAGUGAUGGAACGAUUUUAAAAUGGUGGUGAGUUUAAAAUGGGAAAAAAAGAAGAGAAGGGAAAUAUCGGUGGCUAGAACAGACUACAAAAGAUAAACAGAGGAGGGGAAUAAAGCACAAAUGGACGACAAUGAGGGCUUGGAGGUGUUUGGGGUAAAAAAUUAGGGAAAAGAUAAGGUGAUGGCGACGUCAAUAGGAAUCGGCGCUUAAUGUG